GAUGAACGCUGGCGGCGUGCCUAAUACAUGCAAGUCGAGCGAACAGACGAGGAGCUUUCGCCUCUGACGUUAGCGGCGGACGGGUGAGUAACACGUGGAUAACCUACCUAUAAGACUGGGAUAACUUCGUGAAACCGGAUCUAAUACUGGAGAAUAUAUUGAACCGCAUGGUUCAAGAGUUAAAGACGGCUUUGCUGUCACUUAUAGAUGAACCCGCGCGGCAUUAGCUAGUGGGUAAGGUAACGGCUUACCAAGGCAACGAUGCGGAGCUGACUUGAUAGGUUGAUAGGCAACACUGGAACUGAGACACGGCCCAGCCCCCUAGGGGAGGAAGCAGUAGGGAAUCUUCAGCAAUGGGCGAAAGCCUGACGGAGCAACGCCGCGUGAGUGAUGAAGGUCUUCGGUUCGUAAACCUCUGUUAUUAGGAAAGAAAAAAUGUGUAAAUAACCAUGCUCGUCUUGACGGUACCUAAUAAGAAAGCCACGGCUAACUACGU
rnacentral:rRNA from 1 species